rnacentral:sRNA from 1 species
AUGAUGUUUCCGAAAAACCAGCACAAUCCAAAGAGACAAAUGGAAACCAGUCAACUGAUAUUGAUAGUACAUUGGCCAACUUCCUAGCGGAGAUCGAUGCCAUAACAGCUCCUCAGCCUGCAGCUCCUGUAGGAGCUUCUGCUCCACCUCCAACUCCACCUCGACCAGAGCCAAAGGAAGCAGCAACAUCUACCCUUUCUUCUUCUACUUCAAAUGGAACAGACUCCACCCAAACAUCUGGAUGGCAAUAUGAUACUCAGUGUUCACUGGCAGGAGGUAAACUUGAUCCUUUGAUUUUUAAAGAAAAGUAAAAUCCUUAAAGGGAUUCUAGGCGUUCACUUUUCUGGUUUGUUUGUUUGGAGAUGGAAUCUCGCUCUGUCGCCCAGGCUGGAGUGCAGUGGAGCGAUCUUGGCUCACUCCAACCUCCACCUCCUGGGUUCAAGCAGUUCUUCU